GGUGGCUCAGUGGUAGAGCGUUUGCCUUGUAUGCCUGAGGCCCUGGGUUCGAUUCCCAGCACCA
rnacentral:tRNA from 1 species